AUGGCCAAGUGCCACCCAGUGCCACCCAGUGCCAGCCAGUGCCAGCAUGGGGACGUGGCCAAGUGUCACCCAGUGUCACCCAGUGCCACCCAGUGCCAGCAUGAGGAUAUGGCCAAGUGCCACCCAGUGCCACCCAGUGCCACCACCCAGUGCCAGCAUGAGGACGUCACCAAUUGUCACCCAGCGCCACCCAGUGCCACGCAGCGGCCCGGCCCCGCGCCCACCUGCAGUGUAGAUGUCGAAGUAGGUGGCCUUGUUGGCCACGUUGCCGCUGGGCUCGAUGCCGGGGCCGCGUGCCGACACUUUGCUGGCGUCGCCGUGCGCCAUCGCCACGUUCACCCCAAAGGGGCUCCCGGAGAUGUUCUGCCCCCCAAACAGCACCGUCACCUGCGGGCACAACCGCCGUCACGGCUGGGAAAAGCCUGGGGACGGCACGGGGACACGGCACGGGGACACAGCAUGCGGAUGGCAUGGGGACAGCAUGGGGACAGCAUGGGGACACGGCACGGGGACACGGCAUGGGGACACGGCAUGGGGACAUGGCAUGCGGAUGGCAUGGGGACAGCAUGGGGAUGGCAUGGGGACACGGCACGGGGACACGGCAUGGGGAUGGCAUGGGGACACGGCAUGGGGCACAGCAUGGGGACAGCUUGGGGACAACUUGGGGACAGCAUGGCAACACAGCACAGGGACAGCAUGGGAACACGGCAUGGGGAUGGCAUGGGGACAGCAUGGGGACAGCUUGGGGACAGAGUGGCAACACAGCACAGGGACAGCAUGGGGACAGAAUGGGGACACAGCAUGGGGACAUCGUAUGGGGACAUGGCAUGGGGACACGGCAUGGGGAUGACAUGGGGACAGCACGGGGACACAGCAUGGGGACAGCUUGGGGACACAGCACGGGGACAGCAUGGGGACAGAAUGGGGACACAGCACAGGGACAGCAUGGGGACAGCAUGGGGACACAGCAUGGGGACACAGCAUGGGGACAGAAUGGGGACACAGCAUGGGGACGUGGCAUGGGGACAGAGAAUGGGGACACAGCAUGGGGACAGCUUGGGGACAGCUUGGGGACAGAAUGGGACACAGCAUGGGGAUAGAAUGGGAACACUGCACAGGGACAGCUUGGGGACAGAACGGGGGGACAGAAUGGGGACACCUUGAGGGCACAGUGACACACAUAGGUAGACCUCAGUGAUACAAUGACGGAUGUGGGGGCACCGCAGUGACACAGUGACAAACAUGGGGACAGCUCAGGGACACAGUGACACGUGUAGGAACACCUCAGUGACACAUGUGGGGACAGCACAGUGACACAGUGACACGUGUGGGGACAGAAAUGUGACACAGUGACACACGUAGGGGCAGCGCAGUGACACGGUGGCACACGCGGGCCGUGUUGGUGUCACCCACCUUGUGCAGCCCCGCCACUUUGGGGACAUAGGUGACAGAGAAGCUCUUCUUCUCGUCAUUGUUGGCCACCACCUGGGCCUGCAGUGACAGCAGGGAGAGAGAAGAGAAUCAAAGGGAAGCACUGGGACCAACGGGGUGCACUGAGACUCAAUACGACCCUAAAGGACCCAACAGGACCCAACGGAACCCAACGGGACGCACUGAGACUCAAUACGACCCAAAAGGACCCAAAAGGACCCAAUGGGACGCACUGAGAGUCAAUAUGACCCAAAAGGACCCAAAAGGACCCAAUGGGACCCAACGGGACACACUGAGACUCCAUACAACCCCAAAGGACCCAGUGGGACCCAUCAGGACCCAACGGGACGCACUGAGACUCAAUACGACCCAAAAGGACCCAAUGGGACCCAACGGGAUGCACUGAGACUCAAUAUGACCCAAAAGGACCCAAUGGGACCCAAUGGGACGCACUGAGACUCC
ensembl:lncRNA